rnacentral:rRNA from 1 species
UACGAAGGGGGCUAGCGUUGUUCGGAUUUACUGGGCGUAAAGCGCACGUAGGCGGAUUGUUAAGUCGGGGGUGAAAUCCUGGAGCUCAACUUCAGAAUUGCCUUCGAUACUGGCUUUCUAGAGGCUGGAAGAGGUUAGUGGAAUUCCCAGUGUAGAGGUGAAAUUCGUAGAUAUUGGGAAGAACACCAGUGGCGAAGGCGGCUAACUGGUCCAGAUCUGACGCUGAGGUGCGAAAGCGUGGGGAGCAAGCAGG